rnacentral:rRNA from 1 species
CAAUAGCGUAUAUUAAAGUUGUUGCGGUUAAAAAGCUCGUAGUUGGAUUUCUGCCGAGGACGACCGGUCCGCCCUCUGGGUGAGCAUCUGGGACGGCCUGGGCAUCCUCUUGGGGAACGUAGCUGCACUUGACUGUGUGGUGCGGUAUCCAGGACUUUUACUUUGAGGAAAUUAGAGUGUUUCAAGCAGGCGUCUGCCUUGAAUACAUUAGCAUGGAAUAAUAAGAUAGGACCUCGGUUCUAUUUUGUUGGUUUCUAGAGCUGAGGUAAUGAUUAACAGGGACAAUUGGGGGCAUUAGUAUUCAGACGACAGAGGUGAAAUUCUUGGACCGUCUGAAGACUGACUACUGCGAAAGCAUUUGCCAAGAGUGUUUUCAUUAAUCAAGAACGAAAGUUAGAGGUUCGAAGAUGAUCAGAUACCGU